rnacentral:rRNA from 1 species
UAAAGAGGGGGCAAGCGUUGUUCGGAAUUACUGGGCGUAAAGGGCGCGUAGGCGGCCUGCUAAGUCGAACGUGAAAUCCCCGGGCUCAACCCGGGAACUGCGUCCGAUACUGGCAGGCUUGAAUCCGGGAGAGGGAUGUGGAAUUCCAGGUGUAGCGGUGAAAUGCGUAGAUAUCUGGAGGAACACCGGUGGCGAAGGCGGCAUCCUGGACCGGUAUUGACGCUGAUGCGCGAAAGCCAGGGGAGCAAACGGG